ACGUCUCAGACGUUAACCGUUAAACAAUUAUGGGCAAUUUGCUUUUGUUUUGACACAUUCUACCCGGAUUACUGGACAACGUCAGGCAAGCGCUCUCAGGGGCGGCAGCGUGUAAACUCGAGGGUGUUUGACGAAAGUUAUUCAUGUCCUUUUAAGAUAUUAUUUAUUUUUCGUUUAUUUAGUAACAACUUAUUUCUUGGAAGCAAUGAGCUGCACAAACGAUUGUGACAGUUUGUCAAACGGCUCUCCUGAUCCAGACGUGUGCGAGAAGCCAGUUGAAACAGUGAUGGAAAAUGGGUCUUCAAUUUGUGACACCGCGACGUCCGGACCAAUGACACCCGAAGUGCUCAUCACGAAGGAAAUGGAGGAAGAAGAGAGGCAACUGAUGGAGGAAGGAGAGAGAAAAGAAAAAGAGCUGAUUGAAAAGGCCCGCAAGUCAUUGGAAAGGGAUUCUCAUGACAUGCGCUUCAAGAGACUUCAGCAUUUGCUUCAGAAGAGCAACAUCUACUCCAAAUUCCUCCUAACCAAAAUGGAGCAACAGCAGGCUGAGGAGAAACCCCGGAAGGAGAACCUGGACAAUAAGGGCACACAGAAUGCCGAACACGGAAAAGAUGAUGCUAAACUAGGAAGGAAAAGGAGAAGAAAUGAAGAAUACAGAAUAUCAGAUGUCAUUACAAAAGAGGAAAUAAUGUCUCACGCUAAGAAAGCAAAAACGGAGGAAGAGGACGGCACAUCGCUGCAGAAAAAACUGCAAGCAGAGGACAUCGAGAAAAUGACUGAUUCCAACCAAGACAUCAAGAAUCGUCUGUCGGAGAGAGUGCGGGACAACGCCAAGCACCUUCUGGAUCCUCACAGGAAAGUGGACGGCCAGCCUGUCCCAGCCCAGCAGCCAGAGCUUCUCACCGGGGGCAUCAUGAAGUUGUACCAGAUCGAAGGCAUCGAGUGGUUGCGGAUGUUGUGGGAGAACGGUAUCAACGGAAUCCUUGCUGAUGAGAUGGGACUAGGAAAGACCGUUCAGUGCAUCGCCCACAUCGCCAUGAUGAUAGAAAAAAAAGUCAUGGGCCCGUUCCUGGUUGUUGCGCCGCUCUCAACUUUGCCCAAUUGGAUUAGUGAAUUCAAACGUUUCACACCAGAGGUUUCUGUGCUGCUUUACCACGGACCGCAGUCAGAGAGGGCCAAAGUCCUUAAGGAGUUUCGCAGACCUCAGGGCUCCCUCGGCAUGCUGCCGGUGGUCGUCACCUCUUUUGAGAUCUCGAUGAUUGACAGGAAAUUUUUGCAGCGAUUCCAGUGGAAGUAUCUCAUUGUGGACGAAGGUCACCGCAUCAAGAACCUCAACUGUCGACUGGUGCGCGAACUGAAGAUGCUUCCCACCGACAACAAGCUGCUACUGACGGGCACACCCCUUCAGAACAACCUGGCGGAGCUUUGGUCCCUGCUCAACUUCCUACUGCCAGAGGUGUUCGAUGACCUGAAGAGCUUUGAGUCGUGGUUCGACAUUGACACGCUUGUCGAGGCUGAUAAUGUCGUGGCUGCUGAGCGGGAGCAAAAUAUCCUAAGCAUGUUGCACCAGAUCCUCACCCCAUUUCUGUUGAGGAGGCUGAAGUCAGACGUAACCCUGGAGGUUCCUCCUAAAAAGGAGAUUGUCGUUUACGCUCCUCUCACAGCCAAACAGGAGGCCUUUUAUACUGCUGUGGUCAACAAGACCAUCACCAAAAUGCUCGGGCAGGAAAAGUCCGAAGCUCCGGUAGCAUUAACGUCGAGUGGGAGGCCCAAGCGUAACAGUCGAAAGCCGGUGGAUUACAAAGAAACUGAAAAGGACACACCAUACGACCUGGAAAAGUAUUUAGAAAGAGUUCGCACCGAGAUGGAGCAAAGAUCCUCUGCAGUGGUGGACAUUCAGAGCCCAUUGGAUGCUGUUAUUAACCUGAAGCUGCAGAAUAUCCUCAUGCUGCUGAAGAGAUGCUGUAAUCACCCCUACUUGGUGGAGUACCCCAUUGACCCUGUCACACAGGAGUUCAAGAUUGAUGAGCAACUGGUGCAGAGCUCUGGGAAGUUUCUAAUUCUUGACAGGUUGCUGCCUGCCUUGAAAAAAAGAGGGAACAAGGUUUUGAUCUUCAGCCAGAUGACAUCCAUCCUGGACAUAUUAAUGGAUUACUGCUAUUUGCGAGGUUUCGAGUACAGCCGACUGGAUGGCAGCAUGUCCUUCGCUGAGAGAGAUGAAAAUAUAAAAAAGUUCUCCGAGGAUCCCGAAGUGUUCCUGUUCUUGCUCAGCACCAGAGCGGGAGGCCUCGGAAUCAACCUGACUGCUGCCGAUACCGUCAUCAUUUUUGACAGCGACUGGAACCCACAAGCAGACUUGCAGGCACAGGAUCGCUGUCACCGCCUUGGUCAGACCAAACCGGUCGUGGUGUACCGUUUGGUCACAGCCAAUACCAUCGACCAAAAGAUUGUGGAGAGGGCUUCAGCCAAAAGAAAGCUUGAACAAAUGGUCAUUCACAAGAAAAAAUUCAAGGGUGCGAAAGCAGAGCUUGACCAAAGUAAGAGCUGCAUUGAUCUGGAUGAGCUGAUGGAUCUGCUUAAAUCAAGAGACCCAGAGAAGGAGGUGAAAGCAUCAAAGGGGAAGUUGAUCAGUGACAAAGACCUGGAGAUCUUGCUGGAUCGCAGUGACUUACUGAACAAAGACAAGGGGAGCUUGAAGAGAGAGAAAGUUGGCGUUUUCAAAGUGGUUGAUGCCAAAUAGUCAUCGCUAUUGAUCUGAGGAAAAACUUGAAAAAUACGCAUUUCUACUGAAACGACGAAAGCCGCACCAAAACACACACAGCUGAGGAGUUCAAAUCUGCACCAGCAAUUCCGUUCCGGUUAUGCCGUUUUGUUUGCAGACUCUUUUCGUUCAACGACGAUUCUUUUCGUUUUGGAGAUUGAUGUUCAUAGUUGGAAACAAAA